rnacentral:lncRNA from 1 species
AUCGAGUGUUUCGAAAUGAGUAUGUGAGGUAUAAGCAUUAUCCAAGUGUGGCUGCGAAUGUAAGUUUUAUUGUUGAUAAUGGUCUUUCACAAUAUAGUUAGAUUAUGCAAAACAAAAUUUAAUUCAUGUCACAUCACUAUGCAGACUGUGGAAGAUGGUGUGUAUUUUGUUGGUCCGAGCGUUCAAGCUAGUGAAAUUAAAAAUCCACCAUUUACUGUUCAAGUGGUGGGAUGAUGGGAUGAUGGGACGCAGAUGAUUGUGAAGAAUUGGACAUGCCAAGAGGCACGUCUAGCAAGUGCCUUAUACUCUCGGGGGAUGUGAAAUAUGUAAGUUUGAGGUCAUUUCUACGCGAUUAAAAUGUUCAAAUCGAAACUAAGGUAAUGUAUUAACUUUGUUUACACAUAACAUGUUUGUACUAUAGGUAAGUGCAUCCACAGCAGUAGAACUAUUGGAUAUGAUUAGUCGGCUAAAUUCCUCGCUCAUCACAAACUUACAUUCGCGGCCACACUUGGAUAAUGCUUAUACCUCAUGUACUCAUUUCGAAACACUCCAUAAUCAGUGGAUUCAACAAACCAGUCCUCUGCCUUAAAUCCCUUAAGUGAUGCUUUGGUUUCAUUGUCCACAGCAUAUACUUUCACGUCUUUGAGUACAGUUCGAUCGGGUAUUUUUGGGAUUAGCUAAUCUAGUGUACCUAGGCUUUGCACGGAUACUCUUUCCCCUAAAUACCAGGCAUACCAGGCUGGUCCUUCGAGUAGAAUUCUUUGUUUUGUAGUUGGAAUGCUGCUUUGCACAUAAUGCUGUAGGUUUGUAUCACAGUUCCCAAUGGAUGCCAAUUGACUUGAUCAGUAGUGAUACAUCUCGUAGUUAUUCUAAACUACUCCAAGUUGUGAUAUAUCUUGAUCAAUAAAAAUGUUUAGAAUGAUUACAUUCCUUUUUCUCUUUUUUUAAUCUGAUGUAAUGUUUUUAGUUUUUAAUUUACAAAAUCAUUUUUUGUUCCAAUG